UUCGUUCCCAUUCUCUCUCUGUCCUCUUUUCUCUCUCUCGUCUCGUAUUCUCUCUCACACACUACACACACUAAAUCAUAUCAGAUCUUCCCCUCCGUCUCUCUCUCUCUCCCUCUCUCUAUAUAUAUGGCAUAGAUUCACGCAUUAAACCCGGAGGAAAGCUUGUCCAGAGUGCUACUCUUUUACGGCCGUCUCUAAUUCGCUUGGUGCAGGUCGGGAACUGCUUUUCCCACGACGUCGUUGGGUGAUUUCUGAUGAAUGAUGUUUCUGGUGAAUUGAAGUCCCGCCUUGCAUCAACUGAAUCAGAGGCCGCAGUAAAAAAUUCAGAAAAUUUCGUAUCGAACAGCGUCGCAUCGGAUCGUCUAAUGACUUUAGCAGGUACAUAUGACAGCCAGAUCUAAGGUGGUGAAGCUUGUCGUAAUUAGAGCUUUGUUUCUGGAAUGUACUUCCGUAUCUUGCAAGCUACGUUUACGUUAUGAAAGCCUUACUUACCUACUAUUGGGUCAAUGGUGGAAUUUACGUGUUGCUGUUCCAGUAUUCAGGUUAACUCUGUUUCUUUCAUGAAAGACAGUAUAUUUUCUUGAGUAGUUUCUGCAGUCUUGCGAAUCACGAGCUGACUAAAGCCUAAGAAGUCGACACACUAGACUCACUUCUUUGAAGCACUAUGUUUAGGAUCUAACUCUCCUCUCAUGCAGAUGUUUUCAAUAUUAUUGUCAAUAAUCAGCUGUCGUAGACACAAUAUCUCUUGCCCUAAAUGUGAGCACAAAAGCAUAGAAUUUUCAUCUAGUACAUAUGAAGAACAAGCCGCACUCUCCUCUAUGUAAUGUUUUGUUUUUGUUUGUAAAUUGUAAUAUGUUCUUGUCACAAUAUAACUACCUGUUAACUUCCCUCCCACUGUUCCACAUCA